AAAGCCACGCUAAACACACCGUAAACCGCCCUUAAUAUGUAGCGGAAAAACCCAAAACCACCCAACCUGGCAACAGCUGUCAUACCUGUCGCACUAACAAAUACGUCAUCAACAUCAGCGUGGACGAAGGCAGCGCGAGCUCACACCGCCCAGACUCUGCGGUGUUUGACUCUUUGAAAGAAUUUUAUGCCAAAGUCAGUGUUGACCCAGAUGGUAAAAAUUAUGAAUGAAACUGAGAGUGAACAAUGAUGACAUUCAGUCCACAAAGCGUCAGGGAAAUGCCGGGUUUGAGGGCUGCCGCCUCAAUGCUAAUGCGAGCCCGGGCUGGAUGAGGGUCCAGAUCUGGAUCCGAAGGUGUUUGGAGUAGUGAAGCUGUGGUUGAAUGGCUGCUCCUGUGACAGUUCAUCCUAUUAGCUGUUCUCUUCAAACUACAUCCAGCUGGGAGUAGAGCUACCUGUCCAUGACUAUUUGACUCCAGCAGGAUGCCUGUGAGCCAGACGGUCUGCAGCUUUUGUGUGUCACCUGCGAAAGGAAAGACAGAACGCAGACCAAAGUCCAGUUUCAGCGAGUGUUUCUUUGAUGACAAGCCCUCCAGCUCUCAUGAAAUGCAUUUGCAUGCAAUGAUGAAAUCCUCUCAGAUGACCACCUCAGAUACGACUGUGUGAGAGACCGUGUCGAUGUAUUGCUCCUGGAUCAUGAAGGCUGCCAGGUUGGCUGUGUAGGAAGCCAGGAAGAUGACGGCGAAGAAAGCCCAGACCAGCACCAUGAUCUUACUGGUGGUGCCCUUGGGAUUCUCGAUGGGCACCGAGUUGUUGAAGACGAUUCCCCACAACAGCCACACUGACUUCCCAAUAGUGAAGGACAGCAACCAUUCAUCAGUGAAGGGUUCAGCAUGCAGUGUACUGGGUCAACUGGUUCAAACUGGAUUCCCACCUGUAAUCAGCACACGGACAAAGGAGGGACGGAAGUCUCACCUUUCGCAGUGACCAGGCUUCGGUUGUACCCAACUGGACUGCAGUAUUCAAAGACAAAGACUGUGAUGGCCACAACAGUGAGACACAUGACGAACAUCAUCACCCAGACGGCUGGACUGUAUGGUUCUGUAGAGACAAAGGACACAGGGGACGGUCAGGAAGGCAACAGAACUCACUGAGACACGUUGAAAAUGAAAAAACUAAAAUUGAAUCGUGACUCUGAAGAAUCGUGACACCCCUGGUGAUGAGGAUGACACUCAGUACAAG